rnacentral:rRNA from 1 species
CCCUUAGAUGUUCUGGGCCGCACGCGCGCUACACUGAACAGUUCAACAAGUCUUAACCUUGGCCGAUAGGUCUGGGUAAUCUUUGAACGCUGUUCGUGAUUGGGAUAGACCUUUGCAAUUAUGGGUCUUCAACGAGGAAUUCCUAGUAAACGCAAGUCAUCAGCUUGCAUUGAUUACGUCCCUGCCCUUUGUACACACCGCCCGUCGCACCUACCGAUUGAGUGGUCCGGUGAAAUCUCGGGACGGCGGCUUGGUCGCUUGCGUCCGACUGCUGAAACUUGAUUAAACCAUAUCAUUUAGAGGAAGGUGAAGUCGUAACA